rnacentral:lncRNA from 1 species
UAACUAACCAAAUAUUUUGUUAUAAUUUCUCAUUUACCCUACCCUUUCCGAUGCCAACUAUAUAUAUCUCAUCUCUAUUGAGUAAAAGGAAAAUCAUUAUACGUAGAGAAACCUAAACACAUGUUUAAAAUUACAGCUUUUACUCCUCACAAAACUUAGACCUUUUAAAAACCCAUGGCAGGUUCAAAUUAAAUGUUUACGUUCAUGGAAGUAACACACAUCGUUUGGAGGAAGUAUCUUCAAGAUUGUUUUAGCCAACCAAUUGGUAUCUUAUGUUUCUAAAAGUUUGUUACAUUCUCUGCACUUUCUUCAUCUAAUAUUUUCUUGCUAUUGUCUAAUAUGAUCCGUGUUUGAUUGAAGGGUAACAAAAUCUAUGCUACUUUCAAAAGAACUCACAUGUACCGAGUUCAACGAGCUGCAAUGUUUAUAACGAUUUCGAUCUCGCCUAACAAACAAUUUCAAUUUUAAAUAUAUUUAAAAAACAAACGAUCUUAAUGUAUCACUUUAUGAAGGUCCUGUUAAUAUUUUGCACAGAAAGAAAUCAGAAUUGGUUUGAGAAUGUAAAACAAUUAGUUUAGUAUUGUAUACUAACCAUCUUAUUUUUCAGAUACGAUCAAC